GCGGGGGUGCCCGAGUGGUCAAAGGGGACAGGCUUAGGACCUGUUAGCUUAGUGCUUGCGAGGGUUCGAACCCCUUCCCCCGCA
rnacentral:tRNA from 1 species